rnacentral:rRNA from 1 species
AGUGAACGCUGGCGGUAGGCCUAACACAUGCAAGUCGAACGGCAGCACAGUAAGUGCUUGCUCUUACGGGUGGCGAGUGGCGGACGGGUGAGGAAUACAUCGGAAUCUACUUUUUCGUGGGGGUUCACGUAGGGAAACUUACGCUAAUACCGCAUACGCCCUACGGUUGAAAGCAGGGGAUCUUCGGACCUUGCGCGAGUGAAUGAGCCGGUGGCGGAUUAGCUAGUUGGCGGGGUAAAGGCCUACCAAGGCGACGAUCCGUAGCUGGUCUGAGAGGAUGAGCGGCGACAUUGGGACAGAGAGAAGGCACAGACGGGGAAGGGAGGCAGCAGGGGGGAAUAUUGAACAAGGGGCGGAAGGGGGAUGAAGAAACGCCGCGUGCGGGAUAACGGUCUUGGGGGUGAAAAAAGGGUUCGCGUGUGAAGAAGGGUGAGUGACGGGAAUGGGAAGAGAAGCAACGGGUAAAUACGGG